rnacentral:rRNA from 1 species
AGUGAACGCUGGCGGUAGGCCUAACACAUGCAAGUCGAACGGCAGCACAGUAAGAGCUUGCUCUUACGGGUGGCGAGUGGCGGACGGGUGAGGAAUACAUCGGAAUCUACUUUUUCGUGGGGGAUAACGUAGGGAAACUUACGCUAAUACCACAUACGACCUACGGGUGAAAGCAGGGGAUCUUCGGACCUUGCGCGAUUGAAUGAGCCGAUGUCGGAUUAGCUAGUUGGCGGGGUAAAGGCCCACCAAGGCGACGAUCCGUAGCUGGUCUGAGAGGAUGAUCAGCCACACUGGAACUGAGACACGGUCCAGACUCCUACGGGAGGCAGCAGUGGGGAAUAUUGGACAAUGGGCACAAGCCUGAUCCAGCCAUACCGCGUGGGUGAAGAAGGCCUUCGGGUUGUAAAGCCCUUUUGUUGGGAAAGAAAAGCAGCAGGUUAAUACCCCGCUGUUCUGACGGUACCCAAAGAAUAAGCACCGGCUAACUUCGUG